AUUCGCUUCGGCUGUAAAUAUAAUGAAACUGGAACGAUACAGAGAACAUUAGCAUGGUCCUAUGCUCAGAGAUGACACGCAAAAUCGUGAGGAUUCCACAUUUGUA